rnacentral:rRNA from 1 species
AUUGAACGCUGGCGGCAGGCCUAACACAUGCAAGUCGAACGAGUGGCGGACGGGUGAGUAAUGUCUGGGAAACUGCCCGAUGGCGGGGGAUAACUCCUGGAAACGGUAGCUAAUACCGCAUACCAUCGGAUGUGCCCAGAUGGGUUUAGCUAGUAGGUGGGGUAACGGCUCACCUAGGCGACGAUCCCUAGCUGGUCUGAGAGGAUGACCAGCCAAUCUGGAACUGUGACACGGUCCAGAGUCCUACGGGAGGGAGGAGUGGGGAAUAUGGCGCAAUGGGCGCAAGCCUGAUACAGCCAAGCGGCGGGGAUGAAGAAGGCCUUCGGGUUGUAGAGUGCUUUCAGCGAGGAGGCGUUACGCGGAGAAGAAGCACCGGCUAACUCCGUGCCAGCAGCCGCGGUAAUGC